rnacentral:rRNA from 1 species
UACGAGGGGGGCGAGCGUUGUUCGGAAUUAUUGGGCGUAAAGGGUGCGUAGGCGGUUUGGUAAGUCUCGUGUGAAAUCUCCGGGCUCAACUCGGAGCCUGCACGAGAAACUGCCGGGCUUGAGUGUGGGAGAGGUGAGUGGAAUUCCACGUGUAGCGGUGAAAUGCGUAGAGAUGUGGAGGAACACCAGUGGCGAAGGCGACUCUUUGGCCUGUAACUGACGCUGAGGCGCGAAAGCGUGGGGAGCAAACAGG